rfam:Triticum aestivum genome assembly, contig: Triticum_aestivum_CS42_TGACv1_scaffold_223975_3B
UAGUUACUCCCUCCGUCCCAAAAUUCUUGUCUUAGAUUUGUCUAGAUACGGAUGUAUCUAACACUAAAGCAUAACUAGAUACAUCCGUAUUUAGACAAAUUUAAGACAAGAAUUUUGGGACGGAGGGAGUACUAU